rnacentral:rRNA from 1 species
AACGAACGCUGGCGGCAUGCCUAACACAUGCAAGUCGAACGAGACCUUCGGGUCUAGUGGCGCACGGGUGCGUAACGCGUGGGAACCUGCCCUUAGGCUCGGAAUAACUCCCCGAAAGGGGUGCUAAUACCGGAUAAUGUCUUCGGACCAAAGAUUUAUCGCCUUUGGAUGGGCCCGCGUUGGAUUAGCUAGUUGGUAGGGUAAAAGCCUACCAAGGCGACGAUCCAUAGCUGGUCUGAGAGGAUGAUCAGCCACACUGGGACUGAGACACGGCCCAGACUCCUACGGGAGGCAGCAGUGGGGAAUAUUGGACAAUGGGCGAAAGCCUGAUCCAGCAAUGCCGCGUGAGUGAUGAAGGCCUUAGGGUUGUAAAGCUCUUUUACCCGGGAUGAUAUUGACAGUACCGGGAGAAUAAGCUCCGGCUAACUCCGUG